ensembl:lncRNA
UGCCCUCCGGGGCUCGUGUAAUGACCUCGUGGUCGGCACCAUUGAUGGAGAUGAUUAGGAGUGAAUGCGCCCGUCAGCUGGAGAGGGCACCACUCGAGGAACUUACACCGAGGUCUCUGAGCACUUCACUGACUGACGAAUCGCUCCACGUUAAAGAGGCACACAGAGAUAUAAAGAUUUACAUGAAGGUUUAAAUAAAGAUAUAAAGGUUAGAGGCCCUGGCACUCGCUGUGUCAAAGCAUGGUGGGAAAAAUGAAUUGAUUUCCAAGAAACAGCGUUUCUAUGGUUACUGUUGGUUUAUGAGAUUCACUUUCAGGUGGAUACAUGCGGCGUGUCCUGUGUGAGGAUCUGAUGUCAGUCAACUACAUCAAUCACAAUGUACUAACACAGCUUCCUAAUGAAGAGGAAACGUUUCAGCUGUAAUGUUGGAACCUUCCAUUGAGACAAGUCAACACUAACAAACAUGCAGCCAGAGGAACGAUGUGAACGUGUGAUGUAAAUAAGGAAAACAGCUGAAUCCCGUUGCUGGAAUAGAGACACACUGUUAUAGACGUAUUCGCCAACAGGGCCCGUAGUGAUGAUGUAAUGGUGCAACAGGCUGAAUGAAGCGGCAGGUCGAGACCCGAACGCCACCAGAUUGAUAUCGUCCAGUUACAUUAAACAAGUGUCCUCUUUUUCCUUUAGUUAACUUCUGCUCCGAUCCAUCACUUUGCAGCCCAUCUGUCGCUGAUGCUCCAACACUUUGAAUACAUUCCUCCCGACAAACAAAGCGCUUAACAUCUCAUCAAUGCAGCUUUUUACACCCCGCACAUAUAUUGGGGCAACUUUACGGCCAGAGGAGGAACCAGUGCAAAGAAAUCUGUCCCCUUAGCUUCCACUUCAUUACCGCUAUUGUGCUCUGGAACGCGCAAUCUGUGCGUCCGUCUCCGUCCGGCCCCGCCAGCUUUCAAAUGACUUUCCAAUGAUGAUUUAAAAGCUCGCGGGGCCAUUUCACUCCAGACCCGUCGCACCUCCCCCCUCCUUCUUCCUUUCACUGCUUUUGAGUGUCGUCUGCUUUUGUCUGGAGCCGUUUCCAUCACUGGGAUCCAGGGGGGUCAGCGGGAGCCACACAAAGAGCCAUCAGGCCUGAAUAGAGAUACAACGUAUUGGGGACUUCUUCGAAGUUUGGCCCCUGAUCCAGUCUAAUAGGGUUAGAUAAUUGUGUCUUAAAAAUGUUUUAAUACAAGCAGGAGCAAAACAUUUGUGCGUGACGCAGUAAAGGGCUGUGGGGGGGGGGCACACCUGAUGGCUGCAGAACGCCAGAUUGUGCCGUGUUGUGGAUGAACAGAUGGGGGUGGAUGAGUAACAUGGUCCCUUGAUGGUCCGUGUACAUUAGAAAUAAUAAAAAGGAGAAGAAGAGAAAAUAAUAGGCUCCACCAGGCAGAAGAAUCGCAUCUGAUGUGCGAGCUGGAUGUUAGUAAAGGUUGGCAGCCUGUGAUUAUUCCUCAAUCAAGGCCUCAUUGUCUGCGGCUUGUAUCUAUAGGGAAGACUUUCACUGGCCAAACGGCUCACUUUAUGUCCGUGUGAUGAGAAAUGAGUAGCCAUGAUGACACGGCACGCAUCACUGCAAGAGGAGGAACAUUCAGCUGAAUUCUGAGCAUUGGAUCAGCGGUUACUUGUAACAUGUCUCAACAGCUGCCCCACAUUUAGAACAAGACGAGUGUGAGGCUGAAAGGUCACUUCAAAGAGCUGCUUUCAUGGAUCAAAUCCAGCUCGUAUCCAGGCGACAACCUCCAGUCCACGACAGUGAAGCCAAUGCGGAAUCAUCUAUCUCUCUGUACUGGCCGACAGGAGACGACGAUGAGACACGGAUCCCGUUUGUUCCCUAAGCCUGUGUCUAUGCAUUUAGUUUAAAUUCUUCAUCUUCACAACAAGAUGUUCAGUAAAUUAAGGCCCAUUUAGAGCAAAACAGACAAAGCAGCAGAUAUGCUGUAGGACGAGCUGUGAUUGACAGGUUGCUGCCUCCAGUAUAGUAUAGUAUACAGCGUCUCCCAACAGGGUAACCUCCGUUACCGAAAGCCAAGAUGGCGAAUCUCAAACAACGGCAGCUGACGAACCAACAGCUCAUGACGUCACGCUGACUCCACCGUCUUCUUACGCACAGCAUGGGGCUGCACCCCCCCUCGUCCUCGCCGGCGUCUCGCGGCUGCUUUGCAGAAAUUAGAGCGUUCAGCAGCUGCUGAUAUGUUAGCAGAUAGCUUGAAUUCAGCCGGUGCACGGAGGUGUGAUCCCGGGAGAAACUCUCCUGGCCAACGUUCUCCUCCCGGCAGGAGGGUCUGCUGCGAUGGGGCGGGUUUCACUUUGGACUUAUUCCACUAGGAAAACUAUGCACAUCUCGGUUAGUAUCCACAGAUGGUUCAUAUAAACCGGCCACACCUGAUCAUGAGACUCAGUUGGACCUCAUAGUUUCAGCCGUUUGUACGUUGGUUGCAUGUUCUGACCUUUGAUUGCCAUGAAAUUUGGUGCUCGCAUUCAUCUUUCCAAAAUGAUGAAUGCUAAUAAAUGUGUUCAAACCUGGAGUUUUCCUCCGGCGUCACCAUAAGGUCGAUAUCUGUGGUUAAGUAGCAGAUGGAUCGCUGUACAAUUUUGGGGAGGACGUGCAUGUAACCCUCAGGAUGAACACGUCUAGUGACAACAGCGCCGUCGUCAAGUCAGAAUUUGUAUUCGACAUUAACCAAAGAAAAGGAAUGACGUUUCCUGCAGCUUCGACUAAACUAUGUAUUUGGUGCUGGUUCUUAAAUGUUAGCGUGGUACCAGGCUGCUGUAGGUGUCAGCUCGUUAGCAUCGCCGUUGUGUGCAGCAUGCUUCCUGUAUGGAUGCACUUAGCUUCACAGAGCUGCUAGCACGGCUGCAGACGGUUUGUCUUUGAUUAAAGCGACACUUAAAAAAACGUCUGUCGAUCUUCAUCCAGCAAACAGCAUGUUUUGCGUUGAGUCUUCUAUUGAAAAGCUCCAACGGGACAAAUGCUGCGUUUGACGGGCGCCGCUGUGCUCGAACGCCUCCUCUACAGAUCAGAGACGUUUGACCACAUCACAGCUUGUAUUUAAAGCCUUAUAGCGUUUCAGAUUUGAUGGCACAUCGGAUCACUGCAUAGACAAACUUCACCAAUGACUCCCAUCACAAGGAAAGAACACUUUAUUUUAUUAGGCAAUAACCCAGUAACCUACUUCAUUACACUGCGUGAGUCACACACGACAAUCAGAGUGCAGAUACAGAACUCUCACUUGCUCUGUGUCCUCUCCCACUCCUCUUCUCCCUCUACAACUUCUCACAUUUCUUUACGUUGUGUGUGUUUGGAGCAUCAGUAUAAUGAGAGGGAGGUAACACGAGUCUCACAGCAUUAACGCUGUCCCUGCGUGUGGAGUCACAAACAGCACUGUGUGAUUCUCUUUGAGCGUUACAGCAAACGCCUCAUAUGUAAAACAACACAAAAUAUGAGGGGACACCACGCUGCACCCACACAAACAGGCUCCGUGGACACGCACUCGGGGGACAGGCGGCGGCGUGUCCCCUCUGCAUGUGCCAGCAAGACUUUGAAGGGAAGGCAUUGUUUUCCCCCUUGGGGGUAAACAGCCUCCAAAGAGACAUAACUGUAUUCAACAAACAGUCUAUAUGCACCCAAACGCCCCACGCCAGAGGAAAUAACAUCUUUUCACAUAACACAACGGAGCUGAUCAAUAUUUAAAGAGCCGCGCUGGAUGUUCAUGCGGGCCAUGAGAGGGCUAAUGAGGCGGAGCUGUAAGGACAGAAGGAUCUCUCAGAUCUGCCGGGUCGAUGACACUGAAGCAUGACAGCGUACGAGCAGCUCAUCUCUGAUCCAGGGUUCACUCCUCACACCCCCGCUGCCAUUUGUUGUCUUUGAACAGCACUUUAUGCAGCACGCGGGCAAAUGAUUGACACCUGAUGGACUGACUCAUUUAGGAGGCUUUACUUCAGUCAGAUGUGCAACACAUUAUGCUGCGUUGUUUGAACAGUCAGGCUUAUUAAUAAGAAACUGUCCUUUUGUCAAGAAAUGUGACAAACUGAAGAGGGUUUUUCAAACGUAUAUUUGAUUUCAGCUACAUGGUUCCAUCGAAAAGGAAACUUUAACUUAUAGCGUCAUCUCUCUUCUGGUGUCGUGUAUUGACUUAUUGCACAGGUCCUCCGGCCUUGUAAAGAACUGUUGUCUUGACAGAACCCAGGUGUCCUCGAGCAGAGACGAGUAUCGAGCUAAAGGCCCGGUCAGCUCAUUUCGUUCUCACUGCACACCCCCACCGUCUUUUUCUCAUUUUAAAACGUGUUGUCUUCAGGCCCAACUGAUGCCGUCUUGAGUCAGUUGAAAACAUUUAUUUAUCAGGUUUUUUUCCAGCUCCCUGUGGAGCCACAAAAUACUUUAUGCCAUAUUUUCACAUGCUGCACAAAUCAGACCAGCGAACAGCCUCCAAAGUUCUACAUAUUUAAACUGGAGCAUUUAAAAAUGUGUACAAGUAGAAAAAAGCGAAAUAUUCUUUUUCCACGGCCCCUGAAUAUGAUGUCAAAUCUCUGAGAUCUGCACCUGGAAGAAAAACCUCGACUCUGCUGUGAAAUGUUGAAAUAAAAAAAUAAAGAAGGUUAUGGAGACUAAUAAUUCAUGUCAUAAAGUUAUGAAGCGUUUUAAUUGGGCCACAUUUGCUCUCCGCCGCCAUCAAAGAGAAAACCACAAGCUAUGUAAACACGCACACGCACACGCUUAACACACGCACAGCACACGCUUAACACACGCACAGCACACGCUCAACACACGCACACGCACAGCACACAACACCCAAUUAUCUUUGCUCACAAUGAAUGAGCAAUAGUCAAAUUAGGGGUCUGAGAAGAAUCCUCAUAGAUUAUAAAAUAAAAAGUGGAGGAAAACAUCCUCAGUCAUAAUUCCUCACAGACCCUCGACACAAAGCCAAAUGCAGGCGAUUUCAUAAAACCACACGCCGUGUCAUCAAAGCGCCGAGCCCCCCUUCUCCAUCGCUCCUCCCGUCUAAGCGCCCUAUUUCUCCACAUCUUUGUUUGCAACACUUGUCUGGCGUCACCGAGAGGAAAAAGCCGGCGUUUGAUUCAUCUUAACAGUCUGUGAGUCACUGGGGAGAAAAAAAAUAAAUGGGUGAAACUUUAAAAAGCGCAGGCUUUGUUGCCAGAGAACAGAAGGCAGACAAAGUUUCAUGGCGUGAAGUUGUGCCUCAUUAGACGGAGUAGCUGCUCCAUAUUCAGGGUCUCUGUGGGGCAAACCCAACGAGUGGGCCAAACUCGGUUCGUUCCGCCACAGCAGGAGCCCCUCUGUUUGUGUGAGGGUGGGCGGGGUGGGCGAGGGCGCACGGUGGGGGGCCGGCGGGACCUUCCCAACGUGGGUCGCACCUCAGCGGAUAUACUGAUAUCCGUCAUGAAGGGAGGCGUCCAGCGUCAGUGUCCCGCACCAGGAACCUUUGGGUUUAACACCAAUGACUCAGUCAUGUCUUCUGUCUCUAUCUGAGAUUUCACAACAACUUACAACCAACACAGCAUUUUUCUUCAUGUUGAUUUUCCAAAAGCUCAUUCGGGUUCUUGGGCCUUGUUGGGGAUCCCUUGGCUGUUGACAUCUCGUCUCGCUGUCUCGUCUUAUUGCGUCCUCUGACUGCAAAGUGGCGCCGUUCAGCAGUCGAUACAAGCAACGGAUCACGUGACUCAUGUGAUCAACAAGGAGCGAUCCUCAGCGAUCCCCUGAAUGAAGCAAUUCAUCAGUACAAACAGGUCUCGUUCACAUCGUAUUGACAGCGGAUUAGUUUUAAAUUGUUUUAAUUGAUGAGGCUCUGAUUGUGGUCUGUGACCAGCACACGUCCAACAAGGCAAACAUCCCGUAAUUAAUAUGUGGUGCAGGGGGGAGAUAUGAACAUGUGAUUGGUCGCUUUGGUCAGCAGGCUCAGAUUUGGGCUCCUGUUUGUGACAUUAAAGGUCAGCGUCCUUUAAAGGCUCCGCGAUGCAGGUGAGAACAUCACAACGCUGCCUCAGGUUUGAGACCACGGAUAAACUACAUUGUCUCAUAUUAUUCUCAUAUGAUUUCAAACCCACUGCGAGGCUCAUGUAAAGAUAUUCUCCAUUCUUUAGUUCAUUUUAAAUAUCAACCAGGUCAUUCAGAUAUAACAACAUGCACAUGGAGAGAGAUGUAGGGGCCAGUGUGUUUAUGUUUCUAAGAGUAGCUCUGAACCCAGAAGCCUGAGUGUGAGAACACAUCUCGGAGUUGUCCUCCUGAAAAAGAUUAGAGGAUUAGGAAACCAUCUCAAAGUUGCUGUUUCAUGUCUGUGUCCCAGAUUCAGCCUGAUAUCGUUUGAUUGCACCCAGAAAGCCAUAAAGGGGACGGUGCUGUGGGCCGACGUAAUGGGAGAGAUUUGCACAGUGUCAUUAUUUUCCAUCUUUGUAAUCCGUAGUUACGGGCUGUAUUUCAGUGAUAACUAAAUUGGCCUCUUUUCCCGCCGCCCGCUCAUUAGUCUAAUGAUUGAAACGCUGUAGAGGUGUUUAGCGUCUGAAGACGCGGGUAUUUGUUGGGCAGAUGGACGCCCUCACCCCUGACCCCCCGCAGAUGUCCCAAACGGAGGCAGAGCUCCCUCGCGAAGCAAGUGGAAAAUCAGUAACGCAGCGGAACCGGCGCGGGACAAUUGGGGCGCUCGCUGCGCCGUGAUUACAGCGGGAAAGAGGCCAUGCGGGGACUCUCUGUGGACGCCUGUUUGACCGAUGGCUCUCUGCUGAAUGGAGCUCCGGGGCUCAUACAUGCAUUCAGAGGUUAAGUGAGCCGUCAGGAACAAAUGUUUGCAUUUAGUGACAAAGGAUAAGAGCGUCCAGCUGUGGACCCACGGACUGGCUCUUCCCUUUGGGUUGAAUUCUUAAGCAGAAUUGUGAUUAGUUCGUAUAUCAGACAAGUUAAAGCUCUCAAUCCAGUCUAGUUAAUAAUGAACGGCAUUGACACAAAAUCAUACGGCGUUGAUCAGGAAUCACAUAGAAAAGUGUAAAUAAAUAAGCCCUCGUCAGGGACGGAAUGUUACUCAGAACAAAGGUUCCCGUUGACAUGCAGGUGGGGGAGCGGCAGGAAUGUGUGGGGCAGGUGUAAAUUUAAACUGUUAAUGAGGCGCAUCAGAAGGCAUCAAAGGCGAGUCGCGCUGGGCCAUUCUUCCGUUGCUCCAUUGCUGGACAAAAGCCAUCAGAGAGUUUCCCUCGCUAAGCGGUGCCCGGUGGGUCCGAGCAGCGGGGGUUAUAUUGUAGCCGCGGACCCCUGCGGACCCCUGCAGACUGCAUCGGGCUAACCAGCCAAGUCCUGCUAGAAGAGACUCUAACGAGACAGAUGAGGUGCUUCUGGGGCGCCUGGUCUCCUGCAUCAACAUCUCUGCUUCUGACUUUAACAAGUUAAAUCCUGAUAUUGUGUCACAGUUAAAAUCUGUCACCACAUUCCUCCUUAACAACAAUGACACAACUAAACUAAACAGAUGAAACAGAAAAGAAUGUUUGUCUGCGGCCGCGGGGGGGCGGGGCUACGCGUGACCUGGAUGCCUGGGCCCCCUGUGUCCAGCUAUCAUGCUAUGCUAACAUGCUAAUAGGCUCCGGCAUGUGAUUACUAUUAUAGAUAUUAUAUAGUGGGACAGAGCGUGAGAGGACUGGUUAUAUGUGGACACAGAGCGUGAGAGGACUGGUUAUAGUGGGACAGAGCGUGAGAGGACUGGUUAUAGUGGGACACAGAGCGUGAGAGGACUGGUUAUAGUGGGACACAGAGCGUGAGAGGACUGGUUAUAGUGGGACAAUAAAUAGUUGUUGGUGUUGUUCCACCGGCAGCAUUGUUGAUAUUUAAUGCCGUCUAGUUUGUGGUCUGUAAUCUAAUCUUUUCAACUACCUCUCUGCAAAAAAGUAUCAGAUUAUUCUUCUAUCUGCUGAUUGGUAUUUCAUUCAUUGCAUGUAGUUAUUUUCUCGUUGCGUGAUGAAUCCAUCUUAAAGAGGAACAGUUCGCCUGAACCUCAGAGUCACACCGGCCUUCCAAUCCGAUGAAAAGCUCUCUGCCAAACCUGGAAGCACAGAACGUGCUCUGGUACGAGCUCAGAGACCAGUAUUCCUCCCGAGGACACAGCGCACAGAGAUACUAACUCGGCGGAACAAUAGAAUGUCUUUUCAUCCGAAUGAAAUUCACAUCAUCUAUCACUUCUGAACCAGAAAUACAGAAAAGCCCCUUUUCAUAUUGGUGGGCCGACCUUUUCCACCUCCACUCAGUGUGAAUUCACAAACGCAUGAAGCGGAGAACUUUUCCAUCUUGUCUCUGGCUGUGGAAGCGAGCAGCGAGCGCUCACCAACACACGCAAACUGUCCUCAGGCGUCUGAAUAACAUAUUUGAAUGAUGAAAUCCAGCACGAGUCCCCGUGGCAGGCAGAUUCCCUGGAAGCCUUGCAUCUCACCAGACAGCACCGUGGAGGUGGGUUUAGGGAAUCAGGUGGGCGUGUGCGCCCGUGCUGCUGGGGGCAAGAUGUGUGCGUGUCUUUAAACAAGAAAGAAAGAGGCGGCUUAUGCAAAUGAGCUCGUGUGGCCAAGUCGAGGGACGGCGGCGGCCCGAGACGAGCGGGGCGCUGCGCACAACGGCCAUCGGGGCCAUUAGACAAGUCAACGGGCCCGAUGCAGGGCGCCGCUGGGCCCCCCGCUGGGCCCGAGGGGGAGGAGCGCUGGGAGGAAUUAGCAGCGGCGGCUGUGGCCCACUUCCAGCCUCGUGGAGGCUUGAGAGGUGACAGCGCGAGUGGAACAAACAAGGGAGGGCUGUCUCCUUCUCCCCUUCCUUCCCCGUCCUCUCCUGUCAGUCAUUUCUCAUCCGUAGGACGGCGCCUCCGAAGCAUGGCCUACUUUCCUGCUCUCACGCACAAUGGAAACCAGCUCAACUUAUUUCUUUGCGAACGUCUGUCUCAUUUUAAUUAACAUCCCAGUUGUGGCGAUGGAACGGCGCCGUGUCUACAUCUCACAGCGACGACGUCCCACAUCCGCCUUCUGCGUGCGAGCGAGUGACUGAGCUCCAUAAUUUAACCGCAUGCCCACAAGCUGCACACGGAUUCCAACACGCGCCUCUCGGGUCUCACAUGAGCCGCAGACACACGCACUCACACUGCUGUAUUUUUAAUUGUUGCUCAUGUUCUCCUUCCCCUAAACAUACAGCAUCAUGGAGCUUGUUGUUUGUCACACGGUGUAUUUAUAGCGUCGCUGUGCUGCGUUUGUGUGGAUUCGUUUGGAAGUAAUAACAUUGACAACUGCUUGAGAGAUGGAGAGGGACUCAUUGUGAGAGCGUAUCCGCUAACGAGCUGUGUUGUGCUCUGGGCGAUGUGUGCGGUAGCUUCAAGCCGCAGUGUGUGUGUGUGUGUGUGUGUGUGUGUGUGUGUGUGCACGCCCACUUAUUGGCAGCUGAAGGAUCUUAACAGAUUCUUUUUUCCAAUUUGGAGAUGCUACUCUCCCCUCCUCCCACAUUCUUCCCUCUUGUUUCUUUUCCUCUCUUUUUAUCCCUCCCUUCUCUCCCUAUUUCCUUUCCUCACACGCUAUUAUUUCCUCUCCUUUCUUUUCUUUUAUCUCCCUUUGCUCCUCUCCUUUCUUCCCCCUCACCUCCUAUGUCCACUCACCCCCUAACUCCCCCAUCUCACCUCCACUCGUCUCUCCUCAUUCAUCCUCUUUCUACUUGCCCAUCUGUCAUCUCUUCCAGUCUCCUCAGCUCCUACGGUCCUUCUUCCUUUGUGUCCUCUUCCCUUACAUCCAUCUCUCUUGUCUUGUCUCUAAUCUUUUCCAAUUUCCUCUCAGGUUCGCUCUUUCUACCUAAAGUUCUAUCUGCCUCUCAUCUCCUCUCAUCCUGUCUCCCCCCUUAUCUUGUUUCUACUCUCCCCUUCUCAUAUCCUCUCCUCUCUCCCUUUUCUCACCUCCUUUUCUCCUCUCCUCCACGGUUUUCCAGGUUUGUCCUCUCACAGCCCAAACUCUCUUGGUGCUGCUGUUUGGAGUGUGAUGCAUUAUCCAUCUCCAUUCCACUCUGUUCACUUCACCUCAAUGGCUGCAACUUACCAAGAUACGCUCGCACACGCAUGCACGCACACACACACGCAUACACGCAUACACGCACGCAUACACACAUGCACACAUACAAGCACGCACACGUGCACACAUAUACGCACGCACGCACGCGGACACACGCACGCGGCUCUGCGAUCCCAUUCGCUUUAAUAUUUCAGCGGCGCGCGUCCGCCAGCCGCCUUGUCACCGCCUGCUCCCCGGGGACACAGAUCCUGGAUCAGGCCGGCGUGUCUUCGGGGGGCAGUCAGCUGACCUGGAAGCUUUGCUUGCACUGUGCCCAGCGUUACCAAGAGUCGCCCCCCCUCCCUCAAUGACAGCUUCUUAAGGGAAGAGGGGAAGAAGGGAUGGAAGGAGCGAAGGGCGGAAGGCUGCAGAGGCCGUGGGUGGAAGAGAGGGAAUGAAAAUAAGAUGAGCUGAGGCGAGUGAGAUGCAGAGAGCUGGUGUGGGUGGGCUGCAGGGGGCUGAUUAGGCCCUUGGUGCUCAGUGGCUGACCCUUGCGGACGGGCACACGCUCACAAACACAUUGCAUGCGCACACACAUUGCUUGGCACUUCAUAAGUCAUUCAUCAUUACAAAGGCUUCAGAAGUGAGGACCGUGUGCCGCGUUUAGGCAUUCUGUUAGAAAUCCUCCGCUCUGCUUUGAGGUGGAAUAUUUCCCUUUUGUUCUGAAAUUCAUGCCUGUGAUCAAGUAGCUGGAGAGGUGUGCGGCGCGAUGGAGCCGUGUGUGUGAUUCAUCUGCCCGUCAUGUGUCCGUGUGUGUGCAGAGGUCUCUGAAGGGGACGGAGGACGGGGCUCUGGGAGGGCGUCCAGGUGCUCACCUGAGGCAUAAAACCCCUCAUCAUGUCCUUUGUACCGGGUCUGCACAGCGCUCUGACAGGACUCCUGAUGGCUUCACCGAGGUCUGACCACUCGUUAGCCAUGUGGCUAACAGCGAGGACACACACACACACACACACACACAAAGGCAUGAGCUCCGCCCUGCGAGUUAUAACUCAUGGAUGAUCACUAAAUGGAAACAUUAGUCCACAACGAUACAGUCAGAGGAGGUGAAUCUUUUAUGGCUCCCAUGUCCCUCGUCCCCACAAACAAUCCUGUGAACAACACUACCGACGCACACACACACACACACACACACACACACACACAUGCCUGCCACUCGUUGGAGCUCACAGGUCACCCUCCUGUGAAUAAACCCGAGGAGGACGCAUCGAGGCAUAAACAACUGCUCAACGCCUCCUUCCUCAGACCCUCAUCAAACAUUGAAGCACAGGAGGCCGUGUGUGCAACACCUGCGCGCACCAGCGCACACAAAGACACACAACCACGGCGCCCCGAUAAGGAUGCAUGAAACAUUAACACAAAUAUAUCCCCAUUGUCUUGCUAUGAAAUAUUCAGGUUCUUGUUGAGACUGAUACACGCUGUCGUCCUCUAUUCACAUGGACUGAACACGCUCUUCAUGCAGAAGCUUUUUGUCGUCUGCCAACGACUCGUUCUUCCGUUUGUUGCCUUAUCUGGAAGCUUUGACCUACUUCAGAGAACCAGAGAUGUCCACUGUCAUUCACGCACUCCCAAGAGGUUAUUCUUCACAAACGCCAUAAACAUUGCACGGCUGUGGACCAUUCAAAUGUGAAAACGAACAGUGCUGCUCCACCUCUGCUUGAGCUGAAUGUCCUGCUGACGUUCACACAGACACACAGAACCACCCGAUGGGAAAGUCAAUAGUUCUGCAGGUCUGGUCAUAAAUUAAAAACAGUGGAGGGAGGGAAGUUUAAAACCGAUGGUGGCAGAGUUCAUUUAUUCUUUUACUAAAUAGGUUUGUCAACGACUAUUUCUUACCCCAAGACAACAUCCGUCGACCAAAUAAUCAACAUGCAAUACUGUUGUUGAAGAAAGACAAGGAUAAAAUGUGGCAAGAUAAUUUAAAUAUUCAUCUUAAACUAAAGAACAACCAGAAAUAACCUAAUAUCUUUGGCAAAACGAGACUUUUAAACGUCAGUCAGUCUACGCUGUGAAAAAAGAUCUUAAUUUUACUGAAAAUAACUAACUUUUUACAGUAGUUUCUUUAUUUGUACAAUACU